UGAGCUAGAAGCCGACUGAGGUCUCCAUCUGAUUCGCGGUGCGGCCAACGCUCGCGUGUUGGAAGGCUCCGCGGCGCUGGAAUCCUCCUCCCGCGGGACAAGAGCCGGUGAAUCUUAGCAAGCGCAGAGGGAUGCCGGCCAGGAUGCCCUGCUCUGGUCCUAUCGCUUCCGCGCCUCUCCAACGCUUAAAGGCUCAAAUGAUUCCUGGAGCUGUUGAUGGUACUGGUACAACUAUUAAUCAUAGGAUGCAGCUUUAUUCAGGUCCACUAUCAACAUUUUAAAUGUUGAUGAUUUGUCGGAUGGCAAAAUUUGAGGAGGUACUGUGGAAGAUGAAAAUGGCAAUAUUGCAUGCGACACAAGGAAGAUAAUGAUGUCCUUGUCCAGUAUAUAUAAGAUCAUGAGGGGAACACUGACCUAUUUGUGUCAUGAGGGAAACAUGAUCAAUAGUAGAGGAUUGGGGUACAUCCAUGUUAAGAACGUGAGCUUCAGAUUUCUUCUGGAGUCUGUCCUGCCGUUGUUUCUUGCGGCAUAUCAGUUCCAUCUGGCAUACAACAGGAAAUCAUGAACCCAUAAAUUAGAAAUAGGUGAUCAAUAAACAUAGUAGGAUCUGAAGGGUAUGAUUGUACCAUUGUUAUGUG